UGGAAGUAAAAAGUCGUAACAAGGUCUCCGUUGGUGAACCAGCGGAGGGAUCAUUACCGAGUUUACAACUCCCAAACCCCUGUGAACCAUACCAUAUCGUUGCCUCGGCGGCGCCCCCUCGGGGGACCGCCAGAGGACCCAAACUCUUGCCUUUUUGUAAGUUUGUCUGAGUGUUGCUCCAAGCAAAUAAAUCAAAACUUUCAACAACGGAUCUCUUGGCUCUGGCAUCGAUGAAGAACGCAGCGAAAUGCGAUACGUAAUGUGAAUUGCAGAAUCCAGUGAAUCAUCGAAUCUUUGAACGCACAUUGCGCCCGCCAGUAUUCUGGCGGGCAUGCCUGUCCGAGCGUCAUUUCAACCCUCAGGCCCCUCCGGGGGCUUGGUGUUGGAGACCGGCGAUCCGCUCCCCCCCGGGGGGGCGGCGCCGCCUCCCAAAUCCAGUGGCGGUCUCGCCGCAGCCUUCCUUGCGCAGUAGCAUCUUAUUUCGCACGGGAGAGCGGCGCGGCCACGCCGUAAAACACCCCACUUACGAACGGUUGACCUCGGAUCAGGUAGGACAGCCCAAU
rnacentral:rRNA from 1 species